AUUGAGGCAGGUGGGGUGCCAGUGGAAGAGAGAAAGCAGGCGAGUGUUUACGGCCUGACUUGGGAGGCCGGCGGAUCAGCAAUUGCAGAAGCAGGCAGCGGCAGAGAGGGAAUGGUGCAGGCAGGCGCUGAGAAGGACGCGCAGUCCAUCUCUCUCAGGUACUUGAAGAAACAGAAGCUCAACAUUUAUAUCAGUCCAUCUUGCCUGAUAUGGUGAAAAUUGCACUCUGUCUGCCAAAUAUUUGCACCCAGCCAAUACCACUCCUGAAACAGAAGAUGAAUCAUUCCAUCACAAUGUCGCAGGAACAGAUUGCCAGUCUUUUAGCUAAUGCUUUCUUCUGCACAUUUCCACGAUGAAAUGCUCAGAUGAAAUCGGAGUAUUCUAGUUACCCAGACAUUAACUUCAAUCGAUUGUUUGAGGGACGUUCAUCAAGGAAACCGGAGAAACUUAAAACGCUCUUCUGCUACUUUAGAAGAGUCACAGAGAAAAAACCUACUGGGUUGGUGACAUUUACAAGACAGAGUCUUGAAGAUUUUCCAGAAUGGGAAAGAUGUGAAAAACCCUUGACACGAUUGCAUGUCACUUACGAAGGUACCAUAGAAGAAAAUGGCCGAGGCAUGCUACAGGUGGAUUUUGCAAAUCAUUUUGUUGGAGGUGGUGUAACCAGUGCAGGACUUGUGCAAGAAGAAAUCCGCUUUUUAAUCAAUCCUGAGUUGAUUAUUUCACGGCUCUUCACUGAGGUGCUGGAUCACAAUGAAUGUCUAAUUAUCACAGUGUCAGAGAUGGCUUUGGAUUCCCCAUUCUGUGUGCUGCUGUCUGGCUCCUGAACCCACCUGUAGAGGUGUGUCAAUCCCAGCUGGUGAAGUACUGAGAAGAAGCUACACAAAAGGCAUCAAAGUAUUAGUGAGUGGUGUCAUUGAGCAAACACAAAGUCGGGCUCAUCCAAGGAUGAGAUUUUGCCAGAGAAAGGACGAGCAGCAAGUCAGGGAGCUUAAGAGGGAGUCUCACUCUGUCGCCCAUGCUGGAGUUCUGUGGCACAGUCUUGGCUCACUGCAACCUCUGCCUCCCAGGUUCAAGGGAUUCUCCUGCCUCAGCCUCCCGAGUAGCUGGGAUUACAGGUGCCUGCCACCACGCCCGGCUAAUUUUUGUGAUUUUUUUUUUAGUAGAGACGAGGUUUUACUACGUAGGCGAAGUUGGUCUCGAACUCCUGACCUCAGAUGAUCCACCCGCCUCAGCCUCCCAAAGUGCUGGGAUUACAGGCGUGAGCCACCGCACCUGGCCUGUUUAUUCUCUUAAGAGAGAAAAUGAGGGGAUUAGUGGACUGUAGUUCUGGACAAGGUGGAAAACUCUUAAAGUGGAAGUAUUGGGGCAAGUGCUCUGACAGGCUAGGAUGGUGCAGUCAGUCCCUUCACCCAGAAAUCAGUAGAAUGUUAACAGUUCAGACUCAAACCUUGUGAAAAACAGGUUCUAGAAAGGAAAUCCCUCACAGCAACUGGCACCAUAAUCAAGACAGAAUUUUUGCAGAAUAAAUAGAGUUACCUGCUUUCAGCCCCAGGUCGUAGCUAUUGUCUGCCCUGCUGAUAUGUGAUAAUAAUUUGUGAUCCUGUUGUCUUAAAAUGGGGUCACUCAUCUCCAGUAGAAUUAAGUCCACAGUGAAGUUGUCCCCCCAUCCCCAGAGAUAAACAUAUAUGAAUGAACUUACGUGAUAACAACUACUGCUGCCUGGGAUCAUGAGAGACCUGAACUGAACUGAUAGGAAGUGAAAGGUGGCUGAGGUAAUGAGAAUAGACCCAUCUGCAGAGGAUCAUAAAACCAGCAAAGACAAGAUCUUGUCUAAGAUGCCUUCACAAACUUUGUCCAUGAGAACUGUAAGGUCUUCUCCAGACCUGUUGGCUGCUGCUGUGAUCUCUGCCCAAGAGGAGCUUCUGACCAACAUCCAAAGGGCUUCUGGACCCACUGGACUCCUCUGGAGCGUCAGCCUCGAGUUUGACCAGCAGCAGGGGUCGGUGUGUCCCUCUGAAUCUGAGAUCUAUGAGGCAGGAGCUGGGGACAGGAUGGCAGGAGCGCCCAUGGCUGCUGCUGUACAGCCUGCUGAGGUGACUGUUGAAGUUGGUGAGGACCUCCACAUGCACCACGUUCGUGACCGGGAGAUGCCUGAAGCUUUGGAGUUUAACCUUUCUGCCAAUCCAGAGGCAAGCACAAUAUUCCAGAGGAACUCUCAAACAGAUGCUUUGGAGUUUAACCCUUCUGCCAAUCCAGAGGCAAGCACAAUAUUCCAGAGGAACUCUCAAACAGAUGUUGUAGAAAUAAGAAGAAGCAACUGUACAAACCAUGUAUCUACUGUGCGUUUCAGUCAACAAUACAGCUUGUGUUCGACAAUAUUCCUUGAUGACAGCACAGCCAUCCAGCAUUAUCUUACAAUGACAAUAAUAUCUGUGACCUUGGAGAUACCUCAUCAUAUCACACAAAGAGAUGCAGAUAGAUCUUUGAGCAUACCUGAUGAACAGUUACACUCAUUUGCGACAGGGUUUCACCAUGUUGGCCAGGAUGGUCUUGAACUCCUGACCUCGUGAUCCACCCACGUUGGCCUCCCAAAGUGCUGUGAUUACAGGUUUCCACCGUGCACAUUAUGAAGAAAAGAAAUGGAGGUGGGAGUUUAAAUAACUAUUCCUCCUCCAUUCCAUCGACUCCCAGCACCAGCCAGGAGGACCCUCAGUUCAGUGUUCCUCCCACUGCCAACACACCCACCCCCGUUUGCAAGCGGUCCAUGCGCUGGUCCAACCUGUUUACAUCUGAGAAAGGGAGUGACCCAGACAAAGAGAGGAAAGCCCCGGAGAAUCAUGCUGACACCAUCGGGAGCGGCAGAGCCAUCCCCAUUAAACAGGGCAUGCUCUUAAAGCGAAGUGGGAAAUGGCUGAAGACAUGGAAAAAGAAAUACGUCACCCUGUGUUCCAAUGGCGUGCUCACCUAUUAUUCAAGCUUAGGUGAUUAUAUGAAGAAUAUUCAUAAAAAAGAGAUUGACCUUCAGACAUCUACCAUCAAAGUCCCAGGAAAGUGGCCAUCCCUAGCCACAUCGGCCUGCACACCCAUCUCCACCUCUAAAAGCAAUGGCCUAUCCAAGGACAUGGACACCGGGCUGGGUGACUCCAUAUGCUUCAGCCCCAGUAUCUCCAGCACCACCAGCCCCAAGCUCAACCCGCCCCCCUCUCCUCAUGCCAAUAAAAAGAAACACCUAAAGAAGAAAAGCACCAACAACUUUAUGAUUGUGUCUGCCACUGGCCAAACGUGGCACUUUGAAGCCACGACGUAUGAGGAGCGGGAUGCCUGGGUCCAAGCCAUCCAGAGCCAGAUCCUGGCCAGCCUGCAGUCAUGCGAGAGCAGUAAAAGCAAGUCCCAGCUGACCAGCCAGAGCAAGGCCAUGGCCCUGCAGUCGAUCCAAAACAUGCGUGGGAACGCCCACUGUGUGGACUGUGAGACCCAGAAUCCUAAGUGGGCCAGUUUGAACUUGGGAGUCCUCAUGUGUAUUGAAUGCUCAGGAAUCCACCGCAGUCUUGGCACCCGCCUUUCCCGUGUGCGAUCUCUGGAGCUGGAUGACUGGCCAGUUGAGCUCAGGAAGGUUAUGUCAUCUAUUGGCAAUGACCUAGCCAACAGCAUCUGGGAAGGGAGCAGCCAGGGGCAGACAAAACCCUCAGAAAAGUCCACGAGGGAAGAGAAGGAACGGUGGAUCCGUUCCAAAUAUGAGGAGAAGCUCUUUCUGGCCCCACUACCCUGCACUGAGCUGUCCCUGGGCCAGCAGCUGCUGCGGGCCACCGCUGAUGAGGACCUGCAGACAGCCAUCCUGCUGCUGGCACAUGGCUCCCGUGAGGAGGUGAACGAGACCUGUGGGGAGGGAGACGGCUGCACGGCGCUCCAUCUGGCCUGCCGCAAGGGGAAUGUGGUCCUGGCGCAGCUCCUGAUCUGGUACGGGGUGGACGUCAUGGCCCGAGAUGCCCACGGGAACACAGCGCUGACCUACGCCCGGCAGGCCUCCAGCCAGGAGUGCAUCAACGUGCUUCUGCAGUACGGCUGCCCCGACAAGUGUGUGUAGUAUCUGUUUUAUUUGACUGCAGUCUCCUUGGUGCAAAAACAAAAUGGGAAAAAUAAGGAUAACUCAGAAUUUCAAAAGGAAAUCACAAAUUCAGCUAAUAAUAGCAUUUUCAGUACUUUUCGUAAACUAAGUAAAUACACAAAAUGUUGAUUUUUCUGACCAUAAGACGUAUUUUAUGUCCUUUUGCCAAGGUGGAUUUGUUAGUCUCAGGCCCUCCUGGCCACAUUGCCCAAGUCACACAGGCUUCUGUAUUAUGUAUUUAGAUAAAAUGUGUGAAAAUAUAUUUGAAAUAAAGUUCAUAAAUAUGCAUUGAUUUUUGUA